AGAACGAACGCUGGCGGCGUGCUUAACACAUGCAAGUCGAGUGCACAGUUUGCGUAGCAAUACGUAGAUGGGUGCACGGCGCACGGGUGCGUAACACGUGGGCAAUCUGCCCUCCGAUGGGGAAUAACCCCGCGAAAGCGGGGCUAAUUCCGCAUAAUAUUCCCUGGACGAUGGUUUGGGGAUUCAAAGCCGUAAGGCGUCGGAGGAGGAGCCCGCGCCCGAUUAGCUAGUUGGUGAGGUAAUGGCUCACCAAGGCAAUGAUCGGUAGCUGGUCUGAGAGGAUGGCCAGCCACACUGGAACUGAGACACGGUCCAGACUCCUACGGGAGGCAGCAGUGGGGAAUCUUGCGCAAUGGGCGAAAGCCUGACGCAGCGACGCCGCGUGGGGGAUGAAGCUUCUCGGAGUGUAAACCCCUUUCGACUGGGACGAAUGCCUCGCAAGAGGAGUGACGGUACCAGUAGAAGAAGCCCCGGCUAACUACGUGCCAGCAGCCGCGGUAAGACGUAGGGGGCCAGCGUUGUUCGGAAUUACUGGGUGUAAAGGGUUCGUAGGCGGUGCGGCAAGUUGGGAGUGAAAUCUCUGGGCUUAACCCAGAGGCUGCUUCCAAAACUGCCGUGCUCGAGUGUGGGAGAGGCGCGUGGAGUUGCAGGUGUAGCGGUGAAAUGCGUAGAUAUCUGCAGGGACACCCGUGGCGAAAGCGGCGCGCUGGACCACAACUGACGCUGAGGAACGAAAGCUAGGGGAGCAAACAGGAUUAGAUACCCUGGUAGUCCUAGCCCUAAACGAUCAGGACUUGGGGUGCCGCCCGUUCGGGCGUCGUCCCGGAGCUAACGCGUUAAGUCCUGCACCUGGGGAG
rnacentral:rRNA from 1 species